UACGUAGGGGGCUAGCGUUGUCCGGAAUCAUUGGGCGUAAAGCGCGCGUAGGCGGCCCGAUAAGUCUGCUGUGAAAGUCCAGGCUCAACCCUGGAAUGCCGGUGGAUACUGUCGGGCUAGAGUUCGGAAGAGGCAAGUGGAAUUCCUGGUGUAGCGGUGGAAUGCGCAGAUAUCAGGAGGAACACCUAUAGCGAAGGCAGCUUGCUGGGACGACACUGACGCUGAGGCGCGAAAGCGUGGGAGCGAACAGG
rnacentral:rRNA from 1 species